UAAUAAGCAAAUGAUCAGCAAGUGACGAGAUGGUUCCUGUCGCUUCAACUCUUCCACUUCAGACUACAACAUAGGUCUGGAAUCCAACAUGGCAAUGCGGAUGGCCUGUUGAGAGUGCACUGUUUGCCGACUCAAGUAGCCCAACCCCGUAGUGUU